GACGAACGCUGGCGGCGUGCUUAACACAUGCAAGUCGAACGGUAAGGCCCUUCGGGGUCCACGAGUGGCGAACGGGUGAGUAACACGUGGGUAAUCUGCCCUGCACUUCGGGAUAAGCCUGGGAAACUGGGUCUAAUACCGGAUAUUCAGUUCCUGCCGCAUGGUGGGGGUUGGAAAGUUUUUCGGUGCAGGAUGAGCCCGCGGCCUAUCAGCUUGUUGGUGGGGUAAUGGCCUACCAAGGCGACGACGGGUAGCCGGCCUGAGAGGGUGAUCGGCCACACUGGGACUGAGACACGGCCCAGACUCCUACGGGAGGCAGCAGUGGGGAAUAUUGCACAAUGGGCGAAAGCCUGAUGCAGCGACGCCGCGUGAGGGAUGACGGUCUUCGGAUUGUAAACCCCUUUCAGUAGGGACGAAGCGCAAGUGACGGGACCUGCAGAAGAAGCACCGGCCAACUACGU
rnacentral:rRNA from 1 species